UACAGAGGGUGCAAGCGUUAAUCGGAAUUACUGGGCGUAAAGCGCGUGUAGGCGGCUAUUUAAGUCUGAUGUGAAAGCCCUGGGCUUAACCCAGGAAGUGCAUUGGAUACUGGGUAGCUCGAGUACCGGAGAGGAGGGUGGAAUUCCUGGUGUAGCGGUGAAAUGCGUAGAUAUCAGGAGGAACACCGGUGGCGAAGGCGUCCCUCUGGCCGGAUACUGACGCUGAGACGCGAAAGCGUGGGGAGCAAACAGG
rnacentral:rRNA from 1 species